rnacentral:rRNA from 2 species
UGGGGAAUCUUAGACAAUGGGGGAAACCCUGAUCUAGCCAUGCCGCGUGAGUGAUGAAGGCCUUAGGGUUGUAAAGCUCUUUCGCUGGGGAAGAUAAUGACGGUACCCAGUAAAGAAGCCCCGGCUAACUCCGUGCCAGCAGCCGCGGUAAUACGGAGGGGGCUAGCGUUAUUCGGAAUUACUGGGCGUAAAGCGCACGUAGGCGGACCAGAAAGUUAGGGGUGAAAUCCCGGGGCUCAACCUCGGAACUGCCUCUAAAACUCCUGGUCUUGAGUUCGAGAGAGGUGAGUGGAAUUCCGAGUGUAGAGGUGAAAUUCGUAGAUAUUCGGAGGAACACCAGUGGCGAAGGCGGCUCACUGGCUCGAUACUGACGCUGAGGUGCGAAAGCGUGGGGAGCAAACAGG